GUUUAUUGAUAGUACCUUACUACUUGGAUAACCGUGGUAAUUCUAGAGCUAAUCCAUGCUAAAACCUCGACUUCGGAAGGGGUGUAUUUAUUAGAUAAAAAACCAAUGCCCUUCGGGGCUCCUUGGUGAUUCAUAAUAACUUAACGAAUCGCAUGGCCUUGUGCCGGCGAUGGUUCAUUCAAAUUUCUGCCCUAUCAACUUUCGAUGGUAGGAUAGUGGCCUACCAUGGUUUCAACGGGUAACGGGGAAUUAGGGUUCUAUUCCGGAGAGGGAGCCUGAGAAACGGCUACCACAUCCAAGGAAGGCAGCAGGCGCGCAAAUUACCCAAUCCCGACACGGGGAGGUAGUGACAAUAAAUACUGAUACAGGGCUCUUUUGGGUCUUGUAAUUGGAAUGAGUACAAUUUAAAUCCCUUAACGAGGAACAAUUGGAGGGCAAGUCUGGUGCCAGCAGCCGCGGUAAUUCCAGCUCCAAUAGCGUAUAUUAAAGUUGUUGCAGUUAAAAAGCUCGUAGUUGAACCUUGGGCCUGGUUGGCCGGUCCGCCUCACCGCGUGCACUGGUCCGACCGGGUCUUUCCUUCUGGGGAGCCGCAUGCCCUUCACUGGGUGUGUCGGGGAACCAGGACUUUUACUUUGAAAAAAUUAGAGUGUUCAAAGCAGGCCUAUGCUCGAAUACAUUAGCAUGGAAUAAUAGAAUAGGACGUGUGGUUCUAUUUUGUUGGUUUCUAGGACCGCCGUAAUGAUUAAUAGGGAUAGUCGGGGGCAUCAGUAUUCCAUUGUCAGAGGUGAAAUUCUUGGAUUUAUGGAAGACUAACUACUGCGAAAGCAUUUGCCAAGGAUGUUUUCAUUAAUCAGUGAACGAAAGUUAGGGGAUCGAAGACGAUCAGAUACCGUCGUAGUCUUAACCAUAAACUAUGCCGACUAGGGAUCGGGCGAUGUUAUCUUUUUGACUCGCUCGGCACCUUACGAGAAAUCAAAGUCUUUGGUU
rnacentral:rRNA from 1 species